UUUUUUUUUUUAGCAGUCUUGUAUGGUCAUUGCUGCAGUGUCCUUGGUUUUGCUACAAUGCCUCUGUGUGAUAGAGGUUUGUGAGCUGUCUCUUCAGCCAGGCCAGUAGUCUGCCUGGUGAUGAAAUUGUUUUCUCGUUUGCUCAAAUUACUCAACUGUGUGGUAUGUUGGGUCAGUCACAUUCUCUUUGAAGUCGAGAAUAAAAAAUCCCAUUGAAAUUCAUGAGAAAAGGUAAGGCCAGCUGUAAAUCAAUACAAUGCUUUUUCGUUUUGGGCAUGAGGAGUGUGUAAUUGUGUGGUGUUCCAUUAUACGCUCUGUAAUCCGGUCUGUGCUGUUCUGAUCCAAGAUCUUUCACUAGCAAACAUGGCUUUAGUCAGCACUGAAAUAUGUGGGGAGAACAUGCACAGGUUUUCCAAAGUAUGGGGUAGGCAGAAGCAAGAUGGAUGCAACAGCAAACAGGACAGGCAUUUAUCUGCCCUUCGUGAUUCAGAGGAUGGGACCUGAACCGUGAUUUCCCACGUCCUCAUUGCCAUACAGCUGGGUCCUUUGUGUCAAUAUGAAUCUCAUUGGUUGCAGCUGCCCUACGUGGAACAAAUAAACUCUGAGUUCAUCAAAGCAAGGCCUUGGAGCUCAGUUACCACAGCUGAGGAUCUGAGUGCUGGGAGAGUCCCUUCUGCCCUGCUCUCACUGCUGUACACGCUUUGACAGCCAUGACUGACUCUAGGAGACAUCCUUGUCACAUCCACGUGGAGCAUGGAGUGCAAAUGGAGCUCAGAAACGAUUUUAUAUUCUUCUUCGUAAGUAUGAUCCUAGUAGAGGUGACUUCUCUGCGUGCCUGUGACGUUUGUAGCUGAGAAUAAAGUACCGCUAAUUGGAGGGGAGGGGAGGAAAAGUAGGACUUUCCUAGUAGGAAAAAUCUCGACACUUUAUCAGCUUUAACACAAACCAUUGAUCAUUUAAUUUCAAAUAAUUCCCUUCCAACUGCUUCAAGAUUUUCUUCUCCUGAGGAUCAGAUGCCUGUAACCAUAAGGAAGUGAGCUCUCUGAGAACGUUCUGCACCUCUGCAUCAGAUAUAGUCCAAUAUUACGCUGGGAAACAGACACUACGUACACACCCAUAAAUGGGACAGCACACAUACACUGGGAAUGUUCCAGCACCGGGUUCCUGUACCUACACUGGGAUUCGUCCAGACUGCAGCCUCCCGAAGAGCUGCAGUUGAUGUAAGAUAAGGAAUUGUUUGUGCUUCAAAAGAAAUGGCAGUGUUUGGAAAUUUUGCUUUUGUUCUGGACCAGAAUGAAGAACAAACUGUCAACACCUCCUUUGAAGUGAAAACGAAAAUUGAGACAAAACAUCAACAUGAGAAUCAGCACUUAAGAUUAACAAAACACUUUGGUUCACUUUGUGAGCUUUCUGUAGAUGUUAUGCACCACAAUUGAACUGACCUCGCCUUCGAUUGCUCCCAAGCCUUCCAGAUCUGUUAAAGGUCAUUUCCUCAGAGGAGGAGGGACAUUACUUGAAGUGGCUAUGAGGUACUUUAAAUGGAAAAAAAGAAAUCUCAAUUUUGAGUGGUUCAGAAAUGCACAACUUUUUAGUGUCAUUUUAUUGUAUCAUGCUUGAGUUCCUGCAGCUAUUGAAAGCAAAAAAACAUCCAAACCUUGACCUUCUCUUGUAAAUCCAUUGAUGCACAUUGAAACAUAAUAUUUUCAGAAGAUUGGAGUCUCGAAGCUUGGCCUUGAGCAUAGGAAAAUGAGAACAAUCCUGUUUUGCUCUUAUUCUGCUGCAUUGCAUGUGCUUGUAUUCAGUUGCUACAGAUUCUUUCAAAGCAUGCUAAUUAAUUUUUGUUCAAACUGAGUUAAAAUACCUUACAAAUUUCUGUCACAUAUCAGUGAAUGAAAUUACUUUAAGGCUUAGGUUAGGCCAGGGCUCUCUCAGUACCUAAUCUAAACUUCAUUACUGAAAUAAACCUAUCUGCUGGUCAUACACCUUGCAUCGUUGUAUUCAGCAUUAGGGCUAUUGAUUUGUGCCCAGGGCUUUGGUACUAUGUAAUUCAGUGGAAAUUUUCAUUAGUGUUUUAGUCCUAAAGCUCAAAAAUCAGUUGUUUGUUUUUGUUGUUGUUGUGAAGACCUUCCAGGGCAGUGCAAUAAACUAGCACUGCUGAGCCCUGACUGCUGCUGAGUGCAGAAAUCCUCCAUUCCUCCCCUUCUCUACAUCCUACUGCUGUUUCCCCUGCACAGGCAUGAGAGCUGCUGGUAGUGGUGAGAGCUAACCUCGCAGAAGGAAUCAUUUUCAACUGGAUUGAUACAGAGGAAGGAACAGGACAUACAGGAAGGCAGGCCAUUUUUGGAUAGUGCAAUGUUAAUCUCUUGCAGAUCCAUCAGAACUGGCAAUAUUAGAGUUUCUGCCUUUUUGUGUGUGUCUGCAAAGUGUGAUGUGAUUGUGUUGCUGUCACUGGGUUUCCAGUUUGUUCUAAUUUCUGCUGAUAUUUCAGGAAGAAGAGAAUGUAGAAGUAUAUUAUGCUAUAUAACUUGUAUGUUACAUCUGUAUCUUCCUUCAGUGCUGACAAAUAUGAACGUAAUUCUUAUCAAAUCAAUGCUUGACCUGAACUUCUCAAGUGUAAGAUCAAGUGAAAAAAGAAGAUUUGUCCAAUUACAUCAGGAAGAACUGGAUUCAUCUUGUUCAGAUACUGGACCUUGUCCUGCUCUCUCUGAAAGUUCUCAAAAAUUGUUUUGCAGAAGUUUAAAAGAAAUCUAAAAUGCAAAUCUAAAAUAGUCUUUAUGUAAACCCAAUGCAAGAAAAGAAAAUCUGCAAUGGAAAACAAUUUCUCAUGCUUUUGUUACAUGUUUAAAAAUGCCUCUUUUUCUUUCCUAACAUGAUGAGUUUUUUUCUUUAUUGUUUCUCAGUAAAUACUCCACAAGAAGCAUUGGGGAUUUAAACAGAAAGAUUUGUGUAUGCCUUUAUUACAAGGUGUGCCAAAUACCUUCCAAGGAAGGGUAAUUAUCACUUCUGUUUUGUUAACAAAGACACUCGGGUAUGAUUGCCUAACUUACUUCCUUGAGAUCACACGACAUACCAAUGAUGAAACUCCAUACAAGCUUUUUUGUAUUCUAGGAUUAUACUUAAAUGUUCACCCCUUGAAAAUGGAAAGACAAAUUGCUGUGAAUUGAAAUAUUUUUUCAGUUAGCUGAGGGGAUGUGGGUUUUGAAACAUGCAAGGCUCCCCUAACCUCAGCUUCAUCCCAAAAUGCAUUGUGAAAAAAAAAGAACAAAACCAAAAAAAACAACUGAUUUCAAUGAAAAUAUCUUUCCUAUAGAAAACUAAAAGCUUUUGGAAGUAUAUACUUUGAAAUUAUUAUUUUUUUCAGUAGAAGGAGGAGAAGAGAUAGGGCUGGAAAAGACGGGGAGUGUGGAUUUUCUGUCUGUUUUCUAUGAGCUGGCCAAGGGCACCUUUAAAAACAAUGAAAGAUUGCUGUCUCCUUGAAAUACUUUUUCUGUGUGAAGGGAAAGUUCCUGUGGAUUUUUGUAAACACUCUUUAUCAAUCAGUUUGAAAAAGAGGACUUUAAAAAAAAAAAAUGAAAGCAGACACUUUCUGGUUUGGCAAUGAAUGCAAGGAUUCGAAGACAUAAUGUACUGUAAAACUGAAACUUUAAUGUAUGUUUAUGCCUCUCUAGGCUUGUUUUGGCUGGUGGGAUUGAGAGUAUGUGACUACCUCCAAGAACUAUUGCGAAGAGCGAGUUAUGCAGUGGAGGUGAGCUCAUGUGGUGUCCAGGGGGAAACACAGCUGGAGCAUGGAAGCUUGGUCAGAGCAAUUGCAUUCUAGGAAAGCUUUUUCCGUGUUGAAGAGAUUUUCCGCUUGUUCACCCUGUGGAGUAUUGACUGAUGUUUUGAGGGAGAACGUUCCUACUGCUAUGGGGAGCGUAUUAUCAUCUGCCUAGUUUCAGCGGAGAGAUUUCUAAUGCCAGAAAGGCAAGAGUACCGCAGGGAGCCAUGGCAGAGCUGAACGGGAACAGGAGCUGAAGGAGCUCACACAAGUCAUAUCUUUCUCCCUCUAGUUAUUUGCUAAGCAGUUACUGAUGCUGCCUGGGGAUAGGCAACGCAAGACACGUACAGGUAAGUAAAAGUGCCGGGUCCUACAUGUUGCUGGGACUUUUCAUGGAGUUGCGUCCAGCAGGAAAUACCAUUCACCGUUCUUUAAAAGGUGACAGUUGAUCCGUGGCACUGAACAGACAGUUCCCUCACUCAGCGCCCCAAAGCAGCACUUUGGGAAGUACCCAGUUACGGCAUGUUGGUCAGAGAGAGUCCUCAACAUAUGAAAUUUGCCGCAGUUUUCCCUCCUCCUUUCGCGCAGGGGCCGGCGCUGAACACCCACCCCCAGCGCUCCCUGCCCGCCGUGAGGCGAGGCGCGGAACCGCCCCUUCCCGCCGCGGGCCGCCUCCCUCAG